GAACUUCCCUUUCAAAACAGCUAAAAAAUGUCUGCUUUGAAAUGUCUGCGUUCAAAAAAAAACUGCAACUGUAUUAUUUUUAAUUCCUUUAGCCAAAUACUCCAGACCAACACAGCUAUCUAAGCGCCAUCGCUUUCUUCUGCUAGCUCGAUAACAUGAGAACUGAUUAGCACAGUCGGUUUUGGUAGUUAAGACAGUCCUUGCUCCUGAGACCCAAGCUAAUAUUUAUACACAAAUGCUGUGUUUAUCAUAACUCGGAAGUGGCGAAGCCUCGUCUGUUUCUGCCGACGAUGGAGACGUCCGAAGUUUAGGGACGUUUUCAUAGUAAGCGUUUGGAAAGUCAAGAGUCGUGCUAACAAACGCCUGGCUUACCUGUGGGACAGAAGGAAAACAGGAAGAAAGAAAGCCUUUUGGUGAAAAAAAAGGAGACUGAUGAGAAGAGUGUGAGAGACGAAGAGAGACAGGGAGACAAAGGUAAGAGACACAGAUCAGCUUUGUGUCUUAUAUACGGGGUCUAUUUCAGGAGAAGUUGGACUGGAGUUUACCGUGGGAGGAAUUGUGUGUGUGUGGGAUUAGAUACUGUAGCUCCUCACAGAUUGAACUAUUAAUAAUCAGCUACUGCUUGACCUCCUUCUCUGACCAUCCCUGACUUUUUUCUGUUUUUCCUCGUUUAGAAAAAGAUUCCAUCAUUCCUUUACGGUGUGUUUGUAUCGAUGGAAAUCAGCGUGGACAAAUAACACUAAACAAGACCAGCGGGAAAUCUUCAUCGUCAUCAUCAUCAGGAAGUGUUUUUUAAUUUUUACAGAGUGACCGUGAUACAGGAACCUAUCCCUGAAAAGCACACUGGAUUGGACACCAGUAUACCGUAGAGCUCCACACGCCAGGAGGAAACUAGCGAAGCAGGAGGAAACCCACAUUCUGUACAGACAGUGUGAGGGAGUGAUGCUAUCCCUCUAGAUUUAACUGGUUGAGACGGCCAAAUAUGAACAGGAUUCCGGUUAGAGAAUCAGACAGUGGAGGAGAGAUUCUUCAUACAGUAGCCUUUAUUAACACCUCUGAGUUGUCACCUGCAACAAUCAUCUUAUGGCGAUGAUGUCUUUAUGAAUGUCUGUGUGUGUGGUCUAUAAGAACAAUAAAGAAAUACAAUUAUUGCUA